rnacentral:lncRNA from 1 species
AGGCACAUAAUAUUUAUCCUUCUCCUGACCAUAACUUCCACUACUUCCAUAGAUUUUCCCAUUAGGGUUCCUAUAUUCCACAUUCCUAAACGCAUUCUACUCUCUUGAACUCUACCCUUCUGUCCUAGCUUCUUCAACCUUCCCUGUCUAAUAGGAUCAAAGUACUUCUUUUGUGUGUCCUGUGUAAAGUUGAUAGGAGCAUAUGCUCCCAACCAACUUUGAGUGGAGUCGUUCGAAAAGAAGUUUCUAUGGCCCCCU